AACGGCCGCGGUAUCCUAACCGUGCGAAGGUAGCGUAAUCACUUGUUCUUUAAAUGAGGACUAGUAUGAAUGGCACCACGAGGGUUAAACUGUCUCCUUUUUUUAAUCAGUGAAACUAAUCUCCCCGUGAAGAAGCGGGGAUUCUUUUAUAAGACGAGAAGACCCUAUGGAGCUUUAAACAAGUUAACACCUGCUACUAAUCNNUUCACUUUCCUGAACCACCACAUUAAGUAUAGCACCUCUGAUUAACAGUUUUCGAUUGGGGUGAUCAUGGAGCAAAAAUCAACCUCCACGACGAAAAGGAACACCUCCUUGAGCCAAAAGCUACAACUUUAAGCACUAAAAAACUAACGCACUUUGACCCAAUUCUUUGAGCAACGAACCAAGUUACCCUAGGGAUAACAGCGCAAUCCACUUUAAGAGCCCCUAUCGACAAGUGGGUUUACGACCUCGAUGUUGGAUCAGGGUAUCCCAGUGGUGCAGCCGCUACUAAAGGUUCGUUUGUUCAACGAUUAAAACCCUACGUGAUCUGAGUUCAGACCGGAGUAAUCCAGGUCAGUUUCUAUCUAUAAAGGGCUUUUUCUAGUACGAAAGGACCGAAAAAGCAUGGCCUAUAACCCAUCAAGCCAUAUAAAUUACUAUUGUUCCCAACUUAAAUAGAAGUAAACCUACCACUUAUCUCGAUAAAAGAGAAGUUAACGUAGCAUAACCUGGCCUUGCAG
rnacentral:rRNA from 1 species